rnacentral:rRNA from 1 species
UACAGAGGUGGCAAGCGUUGUUCGGAAUUACUGGGCGUAAAGGGCGCGUAGGCGGCCUUCUAAGUCAGACGUGAAAUCCCCCGGCUUAACCUGGGAACUGCGUCUGAUACUGGGAGGCUUGAGUAUGGGAGAGGGAUGUAGAAUUCCAGGUGUAGCGGUGAAAUGCGUAGAUAUCUGGAGGAAUACCGGUGGCGAAGCGGCAUCCUGGACCAUAACUGACGCUGAGGCGCGAAAGCUAGGGGAGCAAACAGG